CUUUGCAUAUUUUGUUACUCUGGCUGCUCUAGAUGCCAUUCUACUGCAUCUUUUCCUGCCAAUUUUGCUUUAUGUGCUAGAUUUACUUUCCUAAUCUUUGCUUCGGGUAAAAUGAUGUUGAUUGAAAUAUUGAUGCAUUUUAUCCUGCCUUCAGCCUCAGCCUAGUCAUGUUGUGCAGAAAGAUGCAGCCAUCCAUGUAUUGAAUGGAUCCAUCUUCCCUUAGCCAUUUACAGGUAUCCGCAAGUUCCGUCAGACAAUUUCCGAGGCCUGUAGGAGCAGCAAGUUGAUUUUCCCCCUGGUCACGUGAUCAAUCAAGACCAUGGAUUUUACAGCCAGCAGCACAUGGUUUGUUUCCCUCAUUGCUGCCAUGUAGAAAACUAGAGGAAUCAGUCUCUUGUUGCUGUUUUCUUUAGGAUGGACUAUAGUUGACUUUCCAUUCUUUCAUUUUAGUUAUCAUAGGUAACUUACUGGAUUCAGAAAUAUCAUAGCCAUCUACAGAAAGUAGCUUGCUGAGAAAGUAUGUAGAUGAGAUCACCGAUUCAUGCAUUUGGCUUGUGAUUGCUAGGAAGAAAAGGUGCUAAUUUCCCACAGGCUCCAAUUUACAUUGAAGGCCUCAUUUACAUGAUAGGGAAGGAGCACAUGAGAAUCUUGAUGUUUGACUUAAGGACUGGGACACGAUCUGGGGAGACAUUUUCAUCACUCCCUUAUUAUUCAUGGAUUACUCUUUGUUAACCCUGGAAUUUACCAAGACUGUUCCCCACUUCAAACCUGCUAGGAUUCGAAAGUAAUUUGGGAUUUUCCCUUGAAGUUUGGAUGCAUGGUGCAACUGAGACUUGUUAACUGCAGCAAAAAUGGGCUUGGAUUGGAUUGCCUCUUUCUUGUCUCAUGAUAUCCUUCUGGAUUUUCCCAAGAGGUUAGGAGUGGGAGACAUGGAGUUUUGGUGGUUAUCCUCUUCUGGGACUGAAGUUGGGGGAAAUCAGUCAGACUGAGGUCCUGCUUUGCAAGAUGCCUCACAACUCUGUUCUCUAUUCAUUUCUUUUUAACAUCUACAUGAAGCAGCUAGGGGAAGACAUCCUUCCGUAUGUCAUGCAAUAUCAGUGUGCUAUUGAUACCCAGUUCUAUCUCUCUCUGUCCACAGGAUACUUUUGAGUUCUGUUCUGGUAUAUGAAAAACAUUAGUGCCUGGAUGGGGAAACAAGCUUUGACUUAAUUCAACCAAGACUGAGGAUCUAUGAAUUUGGCAUAUCUGAUCCCAGGACUGAAGAGUUUUCAUCUUUCUAGAUGUAUUAUUAUCACCUAAUCCCUCAAAGACUAUCUAGAAGCCCAGAAAUCACCAAACCAUGUAGUGCCCGCUCCUUGACAAGCUGUUGGGGCCCCCAAAUAUAUGGUUGGUUCUUAUCAAAUUGGCCUCUGAAAAGACAGUAAGUCUGGUUCCUUUUUCAGUUAUUGGGGUCAAGAAAUUGGAAUUUCACCUGGUGUGUUUUAAGGCAAAUUUGCAUGCCUGAUUGUUUUCUAAUUUCAUAUGCUGUUUUUAGCUGUACAGGUUUAUUAUUGUUUGUUUAUUUGUUGAUUUUAUGUCAUCCAGUCACAUUUGUUGAAACUGUAUUCAUAUCCCAAAUAAAUGUAUAUAGUCCUAUCAAACAACUGUUUCACAUUUUUUAUUCAAUCCCUUUUAUCUCGUAACCUUCUGAUGUUUUUCAUUCACACAUGCACAUAUUUAAAUGUAUAUUAUACUGUAUCUACAUACACAUUUGUGAGUGUAGAUGUAUGUCAGACAUUCAGUCAUUGUACUUUACUCAUUGACCAAAUACAUGUAUGUAUUAUUGACAUUAUACACGUAAUACAUGCAUGCACAUACAAUAUAUUUUAAAUUAAAUAAUGGCAUUAUUAUUAUUUUAAGUCCUGAUAGAAACCAUGUAUAGAUAUUUCUCAAAACCAUUUACCUCUUAUGAAGUCAAAGCAUAUUGAAGUACAUUAAGACUUGGACAGAUUUUU